UCAUGAAACCCUCUCAUUCUAAUUCUUUA
rnacentral:rRNA from 1 species